GGGUAACCUGCCUGUAAGACUGGGAUAACUCCGGGAAACCGGGGCUAAUACCGGAUGGUUGUUUGAACCGCAUGGUUCAAACAUAAAAGGUGGCUUCGGCUACCACUUACAGAUGGACCCGCGGCGCAUUAGCUAGUUGGUGAGGUAACGGCUCACCAAGGCAACGAUGCGUAACCGACCUGAGAGGGUGAUCGGCCACACUGGGACUGAGACACGGCCCAGACUCCUACGGGAGGCAGCAGUAGGGAAUCUUCCGCAAUGGACGAAAGUCUGAUGGAGCAACGCCGCGUGAGUGAUGAAGGUUUUCGGAUCGUAAAACUCUGUUGUAAGGGAAGAACAAGUACGUUAGGAAAUGAACGUACCUUGACGGUACCUUAUUAGAAAGCCACGGCUAACUACGUGCCAGCAGCCGCGGUAAUACGUAGGUGGCAAGCGUUGUCCGGAUUUAUUGGGCGUAAAGCACGCGCAGGCGGUUUCUUAAGUCUGAUGUGAAAGCCCACGGCUUAACC
rnacentral:rRNA from 1 species